GUGGGGAAUCUUGCGCAAUGGGCGAAAGCCUGACGCAGCCAUGCCGCGUGAAUGAUGAAGGUCUUAGGAUUGUAAAAUUCUUUCACCGGGGACGAUAAUGACGGUGCCCGGAGAAGAAGCCCCGGCUAACUUCGUGCCAGCAGCCGCGGUAAUACGAAGGGGGCUAGCGUUGCUCGGAAUUACUGGGCGUAAAGGGCGCGUAGGCGGACAGUUUAGUCAGAGGUGAAAGCCCAGGGCUCAACCUUGGAAUUGCCUUUGAUACUGGCUGUCUUGAGUACGGGAGAGGUGAGUGGAACUCCGAGUGUAGAGGUGAAAUUCGUAGAUAUUCGGAAGAACACCAGUGGCGAAGGCGACUCACUGGCCCGUUACUGACGCUGAGGCGCGAAAGCGUGGGGAGCAAACAGGAUUAGAUACCCUGGUAGUCC
rnacentral:rRNA from 1 species